AUGGACCAGCACCACCACGGCCAAGCUCCCGCACACGGCGGCGGCCGCAGCAGCGAGGGGGGCGAGCCGACCACGACACGGUCCCGGUGGGCGCCCAAGCCGGAGCAGAUCCUGAUCCUGGAGUCCAUCUUCAACAGCGGGAUGGUGAACCCGGCCAAGGAUGAGACGGCGCGCAUCCGCCUCCUCCUCGAGCGCUUCGGCGCUGUCCGUGACGCCAACGUGUUCUACUGGUUCCAGAACCGCCGCUCCCGCUCUCGCCGCCGUGCCCGCCAGCUCCAGCAGUCCUGCGGCGGCACCGGGGACGCGGACCAGUUCCCCUCCAACGCAGCUGCCGGCCAUGGCUACCACGGCAUCGGCACCUCUCCCUACAACACCAUGCAGUACGGACAGCUGGGCGGCGGUGUUUCGGCGGCCGCGGCCGCGGUCAACACGGCGCCCCGUUUCUUGUUAGACGACGCCGACGGCGGAGACGAUCUUUUCGCCAUCCCCCGGCAAAUGGGCCUCAUGGCACGCGGUGGCGAAAACCAGUAUGGUUACCCGGCUACCGACGCAUCGCAACUAAGCUACCAAGCAACUGUUCCAGGGACGACGAUGCCGGUGUUCAUCAAUGGCACGGUAUACGAGGUGCCAAGCACCGGCGCAUUGGACGUGGCAGGUACGUUCGGGCCUGACGUGAUUCUGGUGCACUCCUCCGGCGAGAUCCUCCCAGUGAACGAGCGCGGCGUCCUCAUGAAGAGCCUGCAAAUGGGUGAAUGUUAUUACCUGGUAUUCAGAUCGAUCUAA
rnacentral:rRNA from 1 species